GAUGAUAAGAGGGAUUACCAAGGAAUCACCGACUUGUAUGAUGACAAGAGGAAUUACCAAGGAGUCACUGACUUCGAUGAUGGCAAGAGCAAUUACCAAGGAGUCACUGACCUAGAUGGUAACCCCGAAAAGGAUAAAGAUAGUAAGAACCCAAAGAAUGCCCCUCCAAAGGGUGGGAAAUCUAGGAAGCGCAUUAUCAACCUGCUGAGAUCCUUUUUGGAAAAUGAGUGAUGGAUUCAGAACGACUCUGACCUUUGCCUUACCGACCACAUGACUAUAGUACCUGCCGCUUCCACAAUCGAUCUUUAUUGUUCUUCUAGGCAUACCUCUCUAUGCUAUUAUCAUGUAACUACAUGCGCGCAUUAUAUACGUGUAAUAUGAUAUCGGUAACGAUUGAUUCACGUCAUUCAUAAUGUGACAAAAGUAUAUGAUUUAAAAUAAAUAAAUUUCUUUAGAGCA